AGAGUUUGAUCCUGGCUCAGGAUGAACGCUAGCGGCGCGCCUAACACAUGCAAGUCGAGCGGGAUCCCCUGGAUUCGUCCGGGGGUGAGAGCGGCGGACGGGUGAGUAACACGUAGGUGACCUGCCCCGAAGAGGGGGAUAACCACUGGAAACGGUGGCUAAUACCCCAUGUGCUCCGCGGUGUUAGAGGACCACGGAGUAAAGCCCCGGCGCUUCGGGAUGGGCCUGCGGCCUAUCAGCUAGUUGGUGGGGUAAUGGCUCACCAAGGCUAUGACGGGUAGGGGGCGUGAGAGCGUGGCCCCCCACACUGGCACUGAGACACGGGCCAGACUCCUACGGGAGGCAGCAGUGAGGAAUAUUGCGCAAUGGGCGAAAGCCUGACGCAGCGACGCCGCGUGGGCGAAGAAGGCCUUCGGGUUGUAAAGCCCUUUUCUGGGGGAUGAGGAAGGACAUUACCCCAGGAAGAAGCCUCGGCUAACUACGUGCCAGCAGCCGCGGUAAAACGUAGGAGGCGAGCGUUAUCCGGAUUCACUGGGCGUAAAGAGCGCGUAGGCGGUGCAAGAAGUCGGGCGUGAAAUCUCCCGGCUCAACCGGGAGGGGCCGUCCGAUACUCUUGCGCUUGAGGGCAGGAGAGGGGGGUGGAAUUCCCGGUGUAGCGGUGAAAUGCGUGGAUAUCGGGAGGAACACCAGUGGCGAAGGCGGCCCCCUGGCCUGCGCCUGACGCUGAGGCGCGAAAGCUAGGGGAGCGAACGGGAUUAGAUACCCCGGUAGUCCUAGCCGUAAACGGUGGAUACUAGGUAUCGGUGGCUUAAAAAACCAUCGGUGCCGAAGCUAACGCGAUAAGUAUCCCGCCUGGGGACUACGAGCGCAAGCUUAAAACUCAAAGGAAUUGACGGGGGCCCGCACAAGCAGCGGAGCGUGUGGUUUAAUUCGAUGCAAAACGAAGAACCUUACCAGGGCUUGACAUGCGGGUGGUAGUGAGGCGAAAGCUGAACGACCCUUCGGGGAGCCCGCACAGGUGCUGCAUGGCUGUCGUCAGCUCGUGCCGUGAGGUGUUAGGUUAAGUCCUGUAACGAGCGCAACCCUCGCUGCCAGUUACAUGUGUCUGGCGGGACUGCCGAGGUAACUCGGAGGAAGGUGGGGAUGACGUCAAGUCAGCAUGGCCUUUAUGUCCUGGGCUACACACACGCUACAAUGGCCGGUACAAUGGGUUGCCAAGCCGCGAGGCGGAGCCAAUCCCAAAAAGCCGGUCUCAGUUCGGAUUGGAGUCUGCAACCCGACUCCAUGAAGCCGGAGUUGCUAGUAACCGCCGGUCAGCCAUACGGCGGUGAAUACGUUCCCGGGCCUUGUACACACCGCCUGUCACGUCAUGGGAGUCGGCAACACCUGAAGCCGGUGGGCUAACCGAAAGGAGGCAGCCGUCUAGGGUGGGGUCGGCGACUGGGACGAAGUCAUAACAAGGUAGCCGUAGCGGAAGCUGCGGCUG
rnacentral:rRNA from 1 species